GUAAGUUCACAUGACACAACAGUUUAGUUACUUGGAAUGUCUCGCAAGGUCUUGCAAGUUGAACUACUUCUUUAAAGUACGGGUGACAGCCGUGACGUUCUCCAUAUUGUCAAUCACCAGCAAACCGAGGAGAAUGAGGCCACGUGGGGCCUCCGGUCUGCUAAGACUCGCCCUGUGUCCUUGCUAACAUGACGCGAAGCAUGGGUUGUACGUGCCCUCUCUCUGCAAGCGCUCACGGGGACUGAUGUAAUCUUCUGCUCGACUGGGUAGGAACCGGCAGAGCAGGACUCCUUGCCUCCCUGUGUCAGCCUCUUAAGUGCAGAAUUUCGAGAUGGCUGCUGACAUACUUCUGCUUUGGUUUCAAGGUUUGCUCAAGAAGCAACAGCGUGGGACAGGGAUGAAGAUGAAAGGAUGAAAGGAAAAACUGCCCAGACACUUGCAUACACAAAUAAGUGCUGUCACCUUCCACACUCCACUCACAACCGCCUCCAGAUAUUGAUCACAAAUAAAGUAGAAUGCAGUCUUAAUUGCCAAAUACAUCUUGAC
rnacentral:lncRNA from 1 species